UACGAAGGGGGCUAGCGUUGUUCGGAAUCACUGGGCGUAAAGGGCGCGUAGGCGGCUUUGUAAGUCGGGGGUGAAAGCCUGUGGCUCAACCACAGAAUUGCCUUCGAUACUGCAUGGCUUGAGACCGGAAGAGGUUAGUGGAACUGCGAGUGUAGAGGUGAAAUUCGUAGAUAUUCGCAAGAACACCAGUGGCGAAGGCGGCUGACUGGUCCGGUUCUGACGCUGAGGCGCGAAAGCGUGGGGGAGCAAACAGG
rnacentral:rRNA from 1 species